rnacentral:rRNA from 1 species
CGAACGCUGGCGGCGCGUUUUAAGCAUGCAAGUCGAACGGUAGAAAGACUUCGGUCUUUUGAGAGUGGCGAACGGGUGAGUAACACGUAGGUGAUCUGCCCUGAGGUUGGGGAUAGCCCAUGGAAACAUGGGGUAAUACCGAAUAUCACUUAUCAUUCAUUUGAUAAGUGAAAGGAGCUAUGGCUCCGCCUUGGAGAUGAGCCUGCGGCUGAUUAGGUAGUUGGUGGGGUAACGGCCUACCAAGCCAACGAUCAGUAGCCGGCCUGAGAGGGUGAACGGCCACACUGGGACUGAGACACGGCCCAGACUCCUACGGGAGGCAGCAGCUAAGAAUCUUCCGCAAUGGGCGAAAGCCUGACGGAGCGACGCCGCGUGAACGAAGAAGGCCGGAAGGUUGUAAAGUUCUUUUCUUGGGGAGGAAUAAGCAUCGGAGGGAAUGCCGGUGUGAUGACGUGAACCAAGGAAUAAGCCCCGGCUAAUUCC